rnacentral:rRNA from 1 species
UAAGGACAAGGUAGUUAGGGGCGCACGGUGGAUGCCUAGGCACCAACGGCCGAUGAAGGGCGUGGCAAGCUGCGAUAAGCCGCGGGAAGCUGCAAGCAAGCUUUGAUCCGCGGAUUCCCGAAUGGGGAAACCCGACUCGGCAAACCCGAGUCACCUGGCAUUUGCCAGGGGGAUACCCGGCGAAGUGAAACAUCUCAGUAACCGGAGGAAAAGAAAUCGAAGGAGAUACCCCAAGUAGUGGUGAGCGAAAGGGGUGUAGCCCAAACCGAACGCGUGUCAAAGCCUGCGGGCGUUGCGCGAUCGGGGUUGUGGGAAGGC